GCUUGGAAGGGAUAGCUCAGUCAGUAGAGCAUGAGAUUCUUAAUCUGUAGGUUGUGGGUUUGAGCCCCACACUGGGCA